rnacentral:rRNA from 1 species
GGAGUCUGGUCCGUGUCUCAGUACCAGUGUGGGGGAUAAGCCUCUCAGCUCCCCUAGACAUCGUCGGCUUGGUGGGCCGUUACCCCGCCAACUACCUAAUGUCACGCAUGCCCAUCCGUAACCACAAUUAAGCUUUCGUCACCUCCCCAUGCGAGAAAGUGACAAUAUGGGGGAUUAGUGGAAGUUUCCCUCCGUUAUACCCCUGUUACGGGUAGGUUGCAUACGCGUUACGCACCCGUGCGCCGGUCGCCAUCUAUCAAAGCAAGCUUCGAUAAUGCUGCCCCUCGACUUGCAUGUGUUAAGCCUGUAGCUAGCGUUCAUC